rnacentral:misc_RNA from 1 species
AACACUGUUAACCUGCGGUACCUGCGGAGGGAUCAUUACAAGUGACCCCGGUCUAACCACCGGGAUGUUCAUAACCCUUUGUUGUCCGACUCUGUUGCCUCCGGGGCGACCCUGCCUUCGGGCGGGGGCUCCGGGUGGACACUUCAAACUCUUGCGUAACUUUGCAGUCUGAGUAAACUUAAUUAAUAAAUUAAAACUUUUAACAACGGAUCU